GACGAACGCUGGCGGCGUGCUUAACACAUGCAAGUCGAACGGAAAGGCCCUGCUUUUGUGGGGUGCUCGAGUGGCGAACGGGUGAGUAACACGUGAGUAACCUGCCCUUGACUUUGGGAUAACUUCAGGAAACUGGGGCUAAUACCGGAUAGGAGCUCCUGCUGCAUGGUGGGGGUUGGAAAGUUUCGGCGGUUGGGGAUGGACUCGCGGCUUAUCAGCUUGUUGGUGGGGUAGUGGCUUACCAAGGCUUUGACGGGUAGCCGGCCUGAGAGGGUGACCGGCCACAUUGGGACUGAGAUACGGCCCAGACUCCUACGGGAGGCAGCAGUGGGGAAUAUUGCACAAUGGGCGGAAGCCUGAUGCAGCAACGCCGCGUGCGGGAUGACGGCCUUCGGGUUGUAAACCGCUUUCGCCUGUGACGAAGCGUGAGUGACGGUAAUGGGUAAAGAAGCACCGGCUAACUACGUGCCAGCAGCCGCGGUGAUACGUAGGGUGCGAGCGUUGUCCGGAUUUAUUGGGCGUAAAGGGCUCGUAGGUGGUUGAUCGCGUCGGAAGUGUAAUCUUGGGGCUUAACCCUGAGCGUGCUUUCGAUACGGGUUGACUUGAGGAAGGUAGGGGAGAAUGGAAUCCCUGGUGGAGCGGUGGAAUGCGCAGAUAUCAGGAGGAACACCAGUGGCGAAGGCGGUUCUCUGGGCCUUUCCUGACGCUGAGGAGCGAAAGCGUGGGGAGCGAACAGGCUUAGAUACCCUGGUAGUCCACGCUGUAAACGGUGGGUACUAGGUGUGGGGUCCAUUCCACGGGUUCCGUGCCGUAGCUAACGCUUUAAGUACCCCGCCUGGGGAGUACGGCCGCAAGGCUAAAACUCAAAGGAAUUGACGGGGCCCCGCACAAGCGGCGGAGCAUGCGGAUUAAUUCGAUGCAACGCGUAGAACCUUACCUGGGUUUGACAUGGAUCGGGAGUGCUCAGAGAUGGGUGUGCCUCUUUUGGGGUCGGUUCACAGGUGGUGCAUGGCUGUCGUCAGCUCGUGUCGUGAGAUGUUGGGUUAAGUCCCGCAACGAGCGCAACCCUUGUUCACUGUUGCCAGCACGUUAUGGUGGGGACUCAGUGGAGACCGCCGGGGUCAACUCGGAGGAAGGUGGGGAUGACGUCAAGUCAUCAUGCCCCUUAUGUCCAGGGCUUCACGCAUGCUACAAUGGCUGGUACAGAGAGUGGCGAGCCUGUGAGGGUGAGCGAAUCUCGGAAAGCCGGUCUCAGUUCGGAUUGGGGUCUGCAACUCGACCUCAUGAAGUCGGAGUCGCUAGUAAUCGCAGAUCAGCAACGCUGCGGUGAAUACGUUCCCGGG
rnacentral:rRNA from 1 species